rnacentral:lncRNA from 1 species
UCUAAUGUUAACAUAUAUGAAACCAAGGCUUUUAUGGUUACAGAAGUCAACAAAUGAGAGCGCCUGAGGAAUGGGAGUGGAGCUAAGUGCUGCAGGGCCUGGAUUAACCUCUACAUCACCAGAGGAACAGAGGAGGAGUAGGAUAAGGGUAUGGCUAAAGGCUAUAAGAACUGGUCGUCUAGUGCGUUCGGAACAGAGAGUCAAAGGAGCUGGUUUCUGGGCGCAGAAGAAUAGAUUCAAGGCAUAAUGUACAGACAAGGGUAUGGUAGGAUGUGAUUACAGUGGAGGUAAACCUAGGCAUCGAGUGAAGAUGAGAGGUUUUGUCUCUAGAGACACCAUUUAAACCAGGUGAGGUCACCGCAUGUGUGGGAGGUGGAACAAAAGGGCUAGCUAAGGCAUAUUGAGCAGGGCUGGCUGGAGGCUCUACAGUGACAUAAGACAAUAAUCACUAACCAAAACAGCAAUGGACAAGGCAUACUGACAUUAGGGAGAGGCAUGCGUAGCCGAGUGAUCAUAGGGUCCAGUGAGUAGCUAGGCGAACUGGAGACACAGUGAUUCAGACAGCUAGCGGGCCGGGGCUAGCAGGCUAACAGAACGGCCUUAGGGGGACGUUGCAACGGAUGAGUCUGUUGUAGCCCCCUCGGACGGUUACGUCGGCAGACCAGUCGUGGUGGAUCGGCAGGGCUCCGUGUAGGCAGUAAAAGGGUCCAGGCCAAUUGGCAAAAUAGAUAUAGUAGCCCAAGAAAUUGGCUGAUGGACCUCUUCAGCUAGCCGGGAGAUGGGCCUAGCAUGAGGCUAGCUCCAGGCUAACUGGUGCUUGCUUCGGGACAGAAAUGUUAGCCAGGAGUAGCCACUCGGAUAGCAGCUAGCUAGCUGUGAUGAUCCAGGUGAAAAGGUUCAGAGCUUGCGGUAGGAAUUCGGAGAUGUGGAGAUGUUGUAGCGAAAAAGUAGUCCGAUAUGCUCUGGGAUGAAUCGCGCUGUGCAGACUGGCAGGGGUUGACCGGGCUGAGGUUAGCUGAUGACUGCUAGCAGUGGCUAACUGACUACUAGUUAGUAGCUAGUUAGCUGGUUAGCUUCUGUUGGGGGUUCCGGUUCUAAAGUAUAGGGAAUAGCAGAUUCAUACCACAUUGGGUGAGGCGGGUUGCAGGAGAGUAUGUUCAAAUUGAGGUUAAAAAUAUACAAAAUAUAUACAAAGAAAAAAGAUUUAUACACGGGACACGACAAGACAACGACAAAGACGUCUGACUGCUACGCCAUCUUGGAUUACCAGGACAAGUACUCAGAGCAUGCACUGACCAACUGGCAAGUGUCUUCACUGAGUCUGUAAUACCUGCAUGUUUCAAGCAGACCACCAUAGUCCCUGUAGCACUCACAAUAUGUAGCCAUGAAGUGCUUUGAAAGGCUGGUCAUGGCUCACAUCAACACCAUCAUCCCAGACCCUCUCCAAUUUGCAUACCGCCCCAACAGAUCCACAGAUGACGCAAUCUCUAUUGCACUCCACACUGCCCUUCCCCACCUGGACAAAAGGAACAGCUACUUGAGAAUGCUAUUAAUUGACUACAGCUCAGCCUUCAACACCAUAGUGCCCUCAACACUCAUCCCUAAGCUAAGGACCCAAGGACUAAACACCUCCCUCUGCAACUGGAUCCUGGUUUUCCUGACGGGCUGCCCCCAGGGGGUAAGGGAAGGCAACAGCACGACUCUAACACCAUCAUUAAGUUUGCUGACGAUACAGCGGUGGUAGGCCUGAUCACCGACAACAAUGAGACAGCCAAUAGGGAGGAGGUCAGAGACCUGGCAGUGUGGUGCCAGAACAACAGCCUCUCCCUUAACGUGAUCAAGACAAAAGGAGAUGAUCGCGGGGCUGUAGUGGGGCAGGUUGAGAGCUUCAAGUUCCCUGGUGACCACCUCAUCCAAACACAUCAAGACAGUCGUGAAGAGGGCACAACAAUGCCUAUUCCCCCACAGGAUACUGAAAAGAUUUGGCAUGGGUCCUCAGAUCCUCAUAAAGUUAUACAGCUGCACCAUCGAGAGCAUCCUGACUGGUUGCAUCACCCCUAAUAUGGAAACUGCUCUGCAUCCGACAGCAAGGCUCUACAGAGGGUAAUGAGUACCGCCCAGUACACUACUCGGGCCAAGCUUCCUGCCAUCCAGGACCUCUGUACCGGUACCCCCUGCAUAUAGCCCCACUAUUGUUAUUUAUUGCUGCU